CCUAAAGCCCUGACUUUCUGAACUAAGACUGUCAAGGUUCUGUGUUUUAUGCUAACUAUCAAGUGCACGACUAUGUUCAGUAGAAUUUAAGUUAAAUGUGUAAUCUGCAUCAUAUUCCUCCAAUUUUGAAAGGAUGUCUUCCUUGUGUUUUAUCUUAAAACAUUUAUAUAAACAUCCAUAGAGAGAAUGAACUAAAUCUUAUCUUUAAUAAACUUGGCGUCAAGUAUAUGAAUCAUGUUUUCUUAAAUAAAUCAUUGAAGUGCCUCCUGGGUAGACCUUCAUUACAUUUUCUCUCAUUCUAUUUUUGGGGUAGACCUUCAUUACAUUUUCUCUCAUUCUUUUUUUGAUGUACAUCUUCUUAACGUUCUCCAUGAUCUUUUAACUUGAUAGAUAUAUUUUUGUCACAUUCAAGUACAUCUUCAAACUCCAUGCCCAGUAGUUUGAAAGAACUCUUCAAAAGAAGUUCCCAGCUUGUUCCAUUGUUGCAAAAAUAAAUAUAUGUUCAACAACCACAAUCUUGGAUGUCAAAGUACUGUUAAAAUUUUAUUAUUAUCCGAUUUCCCAAAUUGAAUUCUUUUUUUUUCAUUUAUACAAUUGGUCUUCCAGUGGUUUUUUGUCAGCUUUGUGUGGGUAGUCUACUUAUCUCUUAACUUUUUUUAAUAAUUGACUUCCCACUUAUUUAGUGAACCACUUUAUUAAGCAUCCAUAUAUUAUUAGAAGACGUUAGAAGAAUGCUAUUCUGUUGGUUGAGUGCUACAUGAUAUGGAAAUUUGUUUUGCUCUUAAGAAGUGUUAUUAAUUUUUAUUGCAAUUCUAUUGUCAGUCAUAGUGAAAGUUUAUAAUAAUUAGUAUUCUAAGGUAAAAUUAGGUUGCAAAGGUCAAAUUUUCUCUUUUCAAAUCAUGAACCUUUUGGAAUUCACAAAUAAUCUUUUUGCCGAAUAUUUGGCAAACACUCUACCAUAUGUACAUUCUGAAUGUUGGACCUGUCUUGAAGAAGGCCUUUUCGCCUGCCGCUCAAAAAAUUUUCGAUGCAAAAACUCUUGCAAAGAUACGUGUAAAGGAUAUGAAAUGCACUUUAAUAUUUGCCUUUCUUUUCUGUUUAUUCGUUAUUGCUGCCUCAACUGGUUUGUUCUAGCAAUCUAUUUACAGGUUUUGGACGCUAACUCUUCAAGGAGACUACUUCAAGUCAUUGACGUAAGGUUGAAUUCUCUCUUAUAUUUUCCUUUAAAGUGUUCUAAAAAUAGAAUCAUUUAAUCAUUGGUUGUUUUCUCCCCAGUUCAGUAGCCCGCUUUUAUAGUGGGUGAUACAAACAACCAAUAGAAGAAGCAAAAAUGACAAUAGAAGAACUAUCCACUUUGUCUCAGCAUACUUCUGUAAAUUCCAUCCGGGCUCAUUCGUCUUGACUUGUAGAUAUUGCAUCAUAUCCUUUCAUCACUUCGUUGCCAUCUAUUUUCAUAUUUCAAUGCAUGCUUUAUUAUUUCAUGGGUAAAAUAUUUCUUUCUCCUGUAAAGCUACUAUUUUUAUGCUAAAUAUUUCUAUUAUCAUGUACGACCAUGUCGUAGACGCGUGAUGAGGCUUAAAUUCUUUUUUUUCGUGUUUUCUUUAUGCAGUAGUAUCAACUUUUCUUUGUUUGAUUUUUUUUUUUUUUUUUGGAGGGGGGAAAACGGGUUGGUGGUUUGGGUCAUAAAUUUAUUUGUGAUAUAUAGUUAAGUACGAUAACUGCUUUGUCU
rnacentral:lncRNA from 1 species